rnacentral:lncRNA from 1 species
AUUCUCCUGCCUCAGCCUCCUGAGUAGCUGGCACUACAGGAGAGAAACUUGAAGAGCUUGAAGAAUGUUACCAAGAAUGAAAAAGUUUGAAGAUAGGGGAGUUGGAAGGAAUACCUGGUAGAGGACAUUCUUGAAGGUGUGGAAAUAGAGUCUAGAACACAACUGAAUAAAGAGAGCUCCCCAUUUUGUGAGAUUGGAGGUGAAGAGGGAAAUUUGUGGAAAGAGGAACUUGGCAAGGAUGACCAAGGGGAACCCAGCCCACGGCCACGGACCUGUUAGGAACCGGACUGCAGAGCAGUAGGUGAGUGGCAGGUGAGUGAGCAAAACUUCAUCGGUAUUUACAGUCACUCCCCAUCGCUCUCAUUACUGCCCGAGCUCUGUCUCAUGUCAGAUCAGCGGUGACAUUAGAUUCUCAUAGGAG